CGAUGGUGUCCUGCAGGGAGGCGAAGGCAGCGGUGGUCACGGCCGUGGGCCGGGGCAGGGGUCUCUCCCGUGGGUCUUCUGCUCCGGCCGCCACGAAGAAGGGGAGGGCGCGAGGGGCAGUUUGCACCGGCUCUGGAGUUCUCCUCGCAGGUGACCAGGGGACAACAUGAGAGACCCAGCAGGUGAGCGGGGAGCACGGGGAAGCCAGGGCUGGCACCGAGAGCCGUGACUUUCCAAAGAGCUGCCCCCGAUUCACAGGGACCGGCCAAACGGGGCCGUGUGGUGCUGGGAUUCCCAUCUACCGGGGAGCAGCAGAUUUCAUGUUGCUGUUAAUCGCCACAGCAGCUCUGGAGAAGGUCCUGCAAGCAGGGCAAUGACCACAGCCGGAGAGCACAGGACCCAGCGUCCCUGCAGGCUGCCACGUAUACGUCCCACCUCGGUCCUCUACAUCUAUCCCAUGGGCAAUAGGGGGAAUAAGUUUGUUUAAGCGGAGACGAAGGAAAGAGGCAGAUCACCAGCUAUGUACACGUUUUGGCAAGAGACCUGGGUUGUGCCUUGUUUUUCCAGGACUCCAAGCUGCUCAUGGACCAAGUUGCUUUCCUGGAAAGACUCCGUUUUCCUGAAGCACAUUUAGGCCAGCGAUUGCAAGGCUGUGGCGCCUGCAUCAUCUAGCUAGCUUAUGUUUCCAGUAGCAGAGCAAGCUGGGUAAAGAGCCUCCGCCGCGAGCCCGUGCUGCGGGUCUGCCAGCCUUGGUGGCCUUGGGAGCCUGGUGCCUGGCCCAGGCCGCCCGGCUCGCGCUGCUGGUGCCUGAAAUCCUCACUUUGGUCUGGGUUUUUUUCGGGUCUCUCACAUACUGCUCGCACACAGGUCACACACCCUUUCGUUUUACCCCUCCCUCAACUUCUGUUGCUUGGCAUUACAAACCCGAUUUAUCCACGAGAGCUGUAAGCUGGUUUCUGCUGCUGCAAAUAAAGGAAAAAUCAACUGAG